rnacentral:rRNA from 1 species
AGCUCCAAUAGCGUAUAUUAAAGUUGUUGCAGUUAAAAAGCUCGUAGUUGGAUCUCGGGUUGUCGUCGCUGGUCUCUGCAUGUCGGAGUUACUGGCGGCGAUGCCUAACUAGUGGGAUGCUGUGGGUGCCCUUAGCUGGGUCGCCCAUGACACCUACUCAAUUUACUUUGAAAAAAUUAGAGUGUUCAAAGCAGGCUCUCACGCCUGAAUAAUGGUGCAUGGAAUAAUGGAAUAGGAUCUCGGUUCUAUUUUGUUGGUUUUCGGAACUUGAGAUAAUGAUUAAGAGGGACAGACGGGGGCAUUCGUAUUGCGGUGUUAGAGGUGAAAUUCUUGGAUCGCCGCAAGACGGACUACUGCGAAAGCAUUUGCCAAGAAUGUUUUCAUUAAUCAAGAACGAAAG